AUUGAACGCUGGCGGCAGGCUUAACACAUGCAAGUCGAGCGGAGAUGAGGUGCUGCACCUUAUCUUAGCGGCAGACGGGUGAGUAAUGCUUAGGAAUCUGCCUAUUAGUGGGGGACAACAUUCCGAAAGGAAUGCUAAUACCGCAUACGCCCUACGGGGGAAAGCAGGGGAUCUUCGGACCUUGCGCUAAUAGAUGAGCCUAAGUCGGAUUAGCUAGUUGGUGGGGUAAAGGCCUACCAAGGCGACGAUCUGUAGCGGGUCUGAGAGGAUGAUCCGCCACACUGGGACUGAGACACGGCCCAGACUCCUACGGGAGGCAGCAGUGGGGAAUAUUGGACAAUGGGCGGAAGCCUGAUCCAGCCAUGCCGCGUGUGUGAAGAAGGCCUUUUGGUUGUAAAGCACUUUAAGCGAGGAGGAGGCUACCUGGAUUAAUACUCUAGGAUAGUGGACGUUACUCGCAGAAUAAGCACCGGCUAACUCUGUGCCAGCCGCCGCGGUAAAAC
rnacentral:rRNA from 1 species